AUAGCUCGUGUCUCACUCCGAUCACAGGGCUGGGGCAGGAAAGAGGGACACACGAAGGCUGAAGUCACUCCACCACCACUGCUGCCGUUUCAGGCAGGACCACGGGCAAACCUUCCAGGCGUGUUCAGUGUAGGCAUGCAGCAGGGAACCCGGCAAAGGCUCGCCCCCACUUCGCAUUUAACGUAGAAAUCGGACGGCGCCACUAUUCCCAGUUAAAGCAGUAUUCGCUCCUCCCCCACGUAGUAUUGAUUCCUCUGGCUGAACUGCAAGGGAGAGCACGCACGUGAUCCCAGGAUACAGUCAGUCCCCCUGGGGAGCUCCAGAACGUCCGCCUCGCUACUGUUCCUUUUCUCCAUCCUGCUGGGCCUCCUUUGCUGUCAGCGGCACGUCCGCUUGGUUCAGGUGGAGUUGCUCUGACCCACACUGGGGAAGGAGAAGCCCUGGCCAGGACCCCAGAACUUUCACUCUUUCUUUGCUCCCUGCCAGCUGUAGCAUUCACAGAAUCCCCCUCCUCCCGCCUAGUUCUGGCAGCCAGCCACAGCCUCGACAUGCAAUGCUAAAAGAAACUUCCGUGCUUCCUGCGUGGACCAGCACCUGGGCAAUGAGCUCAGACCCUGAGCUGAAUCUGCACGGAGGCUCACGAAGGGGUCUGUGUGGACUGGGGCUGCUGGGCUCCUUUCCAUCACUGUACCUGAGGCCCACAGUGUUCUUCCUGCUCCUGCCAUGGCCAGCAUGUGACUGAGGACCCAGCUCAAGUUCAUCUCUCCUUUGGCAGGUCUUUCCCGCUCUGCCCCCUCCACCACCACAUGUUCACCAGAGUGGGGAGGGUCCCUCCACACUGCCCACAGGUCUCAAAGCGCUCAGCCCCUGGCUCCAGCAUAUGUGUCUGUUCAUGUCUCUCUCCUCCCUCCCCUGGGCUGUGAGAUCCUUGCCUCCUUCGGGUCUAAAACAGUGCACUUAGUAGGCCCUCAAGACAGACUGUGUGAAUCAAGGAUGUACUACAGUGCAGAACAUUGCAGAGCAUGUGGGGAAAGCCUGAGUCACACUCUUGAGGUACCUUAAGGGUUGAUGAAGCACAGGUCUUCCUUAGACGCUGCGCCGGCAUUUGGAGCAGGCCUGGCUGCUUCCCUCCGACUCUGAGAGGGUGGGAGACAGAGACCAGCCAGGUGAAUCCAGAUGAGACAAAAAGGCCCCUGGUGGAAGGAAUUCAAAAGCAGAGGAUGAGAAGGGAGAGCAACACUUGUUAACUUGGUGCCACGUACCAGACCUGCAGGUCAGGGCUCAGCAGCCUUUUCUCUGUAAAGGGCCAGACGGUGAGUGUUUGGGCUUCAUGGGCCAUCUGGGCUCCGUGGCCCGAGGACAGCCACAGGGGAUAUGUAACUAACACACGUGUAAAUAUGCAUUGCUGUGCCUGGACUCAACUGCACUUACAGACACUGACAUUUGCACGUCACACCGUUUUCAUGGUUCGUGAGUCAUUACUCUUCUUUUUAUUUUCUCAGACACUUAAAAAUGUAAAAACACUUGUUGGCUUGAGAGCCAUACAAAACCAAGCAGCAGGCCGGAUACCCCCGGGGGCGGUAGUCAGACAGAGAGGGCUCAGGUUCCCCAACCCUGCCAGCACCUCUGACACUCGGGAGGAAGGCGAAGCUCCGGAGGACCCGUGACCGGCCCAAGAGAUGGGCUGGUGGAGAGCGGAGGUGGGAUUUUGAGCCUCUGCUUCGCCCAUUCCCUCCGUGGUGCCCUCGGACUUGGGUGCUCGGCUCCCUCUGCCUUGUGUGCGGAUGUGAGAUCCGUCCUUACGGGGCAGGAGAAGCUUUUCAUAGUGGAGGCAAGAGCAUGCCCUGGGGAAAGAAGGGGUGGGGAAAGGCACAGGCGUGCUCCUUAGAGGGAGCUUCCUGUGACGGCAUUUUUAGAACUCAGACCCUGUGGGAAGCAGCCUCAGUCAGCCAACAUUCAGACACAUCGCUUCAGGAAGCAGCGGGACACGAGGCAGGCACCACAGUCCCGGCUCUAAAUGCAACAGGGGGCAAUGGUUCUGUCUAAAUAAACCCUCUCUGAGCUUCAUGGCAGUGGCGGUAAGACCCACCACCCCCAGAUUUGUACUAGGCAAGAAGAAGGCUGGGAAGUCCACAUGGCAGGCAGCCCUCGUUGGAUGACCCAGAAAGGUGGCUUGGUCUCAAGGACGUUGGGAUCAAAGGACAUUGGGCAAGUGGCAACAAAUGUGCAUGCUUGAAAGAUACAACUGAGGCUUCCUGGAGGGUGUGAUCUGGGACUGGAAGAGUUCCCAGAAGGGCCAUCUGACUCGCAUGUCACUCUUCCCCACAUCAGACCUCAGUUCAGCCUCUGCCUCAGACCUCCAGACACAAGGUCAGCUGAGCCAGCUGUGGGGCUGGGGCCUGGCGUCUGGCCCUUCCUCUCUGGUGCACACUGGAGACUCGGGAGUGCCCGGAGCCCAAGACGCUGCUCCCAGACUUGCAGCAAAACCGCAGCUGUGGCUGCCAGUGCUCAGGUCGGAGCUUGUUUUGGCUUCACCGGAAAGGAGAACACCCCCGCCUUGUGCAAUGGGUGCAGUCUGUCUUGGGGGCUGUGGCAGAGCCAAGCCUGAGGGCGGGUGACUGGGACCCGGGCUCUUGUCUAUUUAUUUUGUACCCUUUUAACAUGAUGGUUACAAAAGCAAAUACUCUCCAAGUACAAAGUUUAGAAAAUACAGAGUAGACAAAAGAAGAGAAAAAGGAAAACCUGUCUGCUAGGGUAAGUUUGUUUUAUUCUUCCUUCCAGUCUUUUUUCUGUGUGCACACGUGUGUGUGCAUGUGUUCCUUACCCAAAUGGGCCCACAUGGAUUCUGCUCGGGGAAUCUGUUUCUUCUUCAUUUCACACAGCAGGGUGAGCUCAUUCCCAUGUCAAAAUGCAUGUUUCUUUGCCAUCAUUUUUGCCCAUAAUCUGUUUCUGGCAAGUUCUCUUUCAAAGGUGUUCAGUCCUUGCAUUGUAGCUGCAGCUUCCACCUGGAUCACAAAACCCAGCUCUUCUCAGCUUCUGGAACAACAGCUGGCCUUCGUCGAUAUGGUUUGAAGAGGUCCUACCGUGAGGUUUGGAAGCCAAAGAGCUGCUGUAUGAAGGCUUCAGACGGCAGGCACAUUAUGCAAUAUGAACAGCAGAAUCCCUCUCUCAGAGGCUAGACCGUUUGCCUUCCACGUCUUGUAGAAAUAGUUACAGCAACAGCAACAGUGGCAACAUCACUAUCAUGUUAUGUGUUCGCUAUAUGCCAGGCAAUGGGCCAAAUGUUUCCCUUGCUUCAUCGUAUUCAGUCUUAGUUACACAGUUCUUCAGAGUGAAGUCCAGCUAUUGUUAUCCUGGUUUUACAGAUGAAGAUGCUGAAACUCAGAGGUUAAGCAGUUUGCUCAAGGUCCCCCAGCGAAUGACCUGCAGGGCUACCAUUGGACACAGGGCUGUGAGACCUGAGUUUGUUCUCCUAAGCACCCGCCCCCUUGAAUGCCUUGGUUGGACAAGGCAUCCCCCCUCCAUAGUUUCAGCUUUGUCCUAUGUGCAAAGGUUCCCCGAGACUUCACAAUCCUAUUGGUUUCAGCAUCUACAUGCCAGGUCCUGUCCUUGCCAAGCGUGCACCUCGAAGGUGUCCGUUUUGGUCCAUAAGCUAGAUGUUUAGAACUUCUUUGCUGAGAUAAGGGGUCCAGAUCCUGUGGUCCUCGGAUGCACUCAUCCUUCUCAUGGCAUCACAGAAGUGUGUUUUACUGCUAUACCUCCUGCAAGGCGACCCCACCUCUGCCACUUAAAAUGUGUGACUUUGGACAAGUCUCUGAUUCUGUCUUCAUCUAUAAAACAGGGAUAAUACUCUCCACUUUAUCAGGUGACUUUUAAGAAUUAAAGAGAAAGUACUGUCACAUAGUAGAUACUUAAUAAAUAUUAGCUAUGGUUAUAAUGACUGAAAGAGUAGGGUCCCAAGUCAGAUGGCCUGGGUUUGAUUCUACCUCGUCUACUUAACCGGUAACUUGACCUCGGCUUGUUUACUUUGAUCACUCUUUGCCUCAGUUUCUUCCUCUGCAAAAUGAAGAUAAUAAUAAGAUUGUUGCAAGGAGUAAAUGAAUGCAUUCUUAUGUAUCAGAGCAACAAUAAGUAUCUUAGUAAAUACUGACAGAGUAAAGGCUUGAUAUAUGCUAAUUUUAUUACUAAUUAUAAUUACUUCACUAUUAGCA